UGAGAAGUAAUCACCAGGUGAGUUGGAGGAUCAACUCCAAAGAAUUUCCCACGGUCGGUUAACUGUAAUUUAAAACUGCCGCUCACCAGCGAAGUGAUGUGUACUGAGAAGUCAAACACUCUCUAUCUCUCAUUUGGGCUGCUAUUCACUCAAGCAGACAUGUUCUCAAGUCCAAGUCAAGUCUGAGAUUUUUGUAUUUUAAAAGGAAUCUAUUAAAUGUGUCUUUUACAUUUAAUACGUUUUAAUACGAUUAAAGUCACCAUGAAAUAAAAAUUGACAAUUGUUUUUUUAUAGAAUAUAUUCCAGUAUUUAUUAUAAACGAUUUAUAUGUGCACAUAAUUAUUUAAAAAAAAAUGUAUGUGCCCUUGUAAUCUUUAAUCAAGGUCUCCUUUUUGUAGACCUACAGAUGUUGUCUCAAAUUUUGAGUCUAAGGGGCUUCCCAAGUCAGUUGCUCAGUUAAGUCUCAGUUUCAUCUCUGUACUCAGGUCUGGCAUUAUAACCUUUUUCGAUGCAACACUUUAAACUCAGCCUCACUUUCAGCAGUAGGGAAAGUCCAACAGUUUUGAUAAAGUUUGAAGAUAGUUUUUGGCUACGCCAUGAGUGGUUGGUUUGUCUUUGUGUCUCUGCUAGUCUUGCUC